CGAAGUCCCCGGCGGACGGUGCGCACCCGCCUUCAAGGGGCGGGCGCGCUCCGCCCGGGUCACCCGGAGGGCUUCGU
rnacentral:tRNA from 1 species